rnacentral:rRNA from 1 species
CAGUCGCCGCGGGAAUACGUAGGUCCCGAGCGUUGUCUGGAUUUAUUGGGCGUAAAGGGCUCGCAGGCGGUUUCUUAAGUCUGAUGUGAAAGCCCCCGGCUCAACCGGGGAGGGUCAUUGGAAACUGGGAAACUUGAGUGCAGAAGAGGAGAGUGGAAUUCCACGUGUAGCGGUGAAAUGCGUAGAGAUGUGGAGGAACACCAGUGGCGAAGGCGACUCUCUGGUCUGUAACUGACGCUGAGGAGCGAAAGCGUGGGGAGCGAACAGGAUUAGAUACCCGCGUAGUCCCUGUCUCUUAUAC